UCUAGUUGGAUAAAUAUAAAUAUUUGGAAAAUGGUACCCUGGAAAAUGAUACCAUUGAAAAGGGCCAUAAAAGAGGAACGUUCUCAUUCUUGAUAUAGCACAGAAGUUGGGCAUCAUUAAAGGUGAUGAACUCAACUUAAAUUCAUCAAAGAAACCUGGGUGUAUUGUAAGUUUUUCUCAUUUUUCAGGUUAAUGUGACUUUAUCAGAAAUAAGCAAGAUUUUAAAUCCCUCGUUCCUAUAGAUCGCAAGUUUUUAGGACUCCCAUAAAACACCAUGAUUUUUUUCUUCAUUGGAGGUUGUUUUACUUGUAUUAGAAAUGAUGUAGCUCAUAAAAGGGAGCCAGUUCAAUUCAAAACACAUUUAUGGGGGCCCACAAGGGACCCCAACUAGGCAGUGCUUUCCUAGAGAAGAAAAAGCCUACAGGGUUUGGAUUCAGACUGACUGAAUAGCAUUUUUCCACUUAUUAACUGUUAACCUUGAGCAAAUUGUGCUUAUCUCUGAGUUCUCUUGCAGAAAACACACUACCUCACUAGGUUACUAGGAAGAUUUCAGGAGAUGGUGCUUGUAAAAGGCCAAGCCUGGGGCUCCAGGAAUCUUCUGUCCUUGCUUUAGUUGCUGGGGGAUGUAGGUGAUACAGACAUGGGUAGGAUUUAGUCCCUGAAUGCUGUCAGGGAUUGAUAGUCUGGGACUUUGCGGUAUAGGAUACUCACUUGGAAGAUACAAGGUGUUUGUUUGUUUGGCAUUUGUUUUUUGUGUUUUAUUUUAUUUAUUUAUUUUUUGAGACUGGAUUGCUCUGUUGUCCAGGCUGGAGUGCUGAGGUGCAGUGGUGCAAUCAUAGCUCACGGCAGCCUCAAACUCCUGAGCCCAAGUGAGAGAUGAGUCAGAGCCAAGCCCUUCUGCUAACAGAGCUAUUUGUUGCUGAGGAAGUUCUCAGUUUCUCCUCUGAAUGGUGCCAAUAUCCUCCAGUUGCUUAAGGCAGAGUGAGAGAAGCUGACUGUGGAUACCCACAUGAAGAUUAAUCCCACCUGGAGGAAUGGGGCAAGGAGCUGCUCUCUAGACCAGUCAAGCUUGCAUUUGAAUUGGGCUUGUAAUGAGUUCCCCAGAAGGAAAACACACGCACAUAUACCCCAACAGAAAAAGCAUCCUGGGGCUGUGGACUCAUCCAUUGUCUUUGAUAA
rnacentral:lncRNA from 1 species